rnacentral:lncRNA from 1 species
CUCUUUUCCUUUGCCCUCUAAUUUUUUGUUUUUUGAUCAGCGAAGUACUUCUUCAUUAGCUAUCGAACCUUCUGUGAGCAUUUCCAACACAUGGCCACAUCCCGAUAACCAUCGACCAAAUGUUGCUUCAAUCUAGUCACCCCUUGUUGCCCAGCUAUGCAACCCAAAAGGGGGGGGUGAAUUGGGUUUCUAAAAAUUUUAAGCCCAACAGAUAACUUAUGAAGAACAAAACAAUGGC